ensembl:lncRNA
GAGCGACUCUAUGAGGUUCGGCUGUUUCCCCUGGAACAGUUCUUCAGGUGACUUCAGAAGACAGAGGAAGAGUGUCAACAUGGUCAGGGACCCUUGCCCUUUGACCUCAGGGUGUCCAGCUUGACCUCCCUGGCCCUUCAUGAGACUUACCCUGGGUGUCAAGCCAAGGUUCUGCAGGUUCUUGCUGUCCUCCUCCUUUCUUCCCUGCUGCACUGGAGAGAUGGGAUCACGUCUUUGAGCUGUCAGGAGUUUCUAGAGUAUCCACUCGCAUUGCUGGACCUCUACACACAGCGGGAGCUCAGUGAGGCUGCAGUGGUCUGUCUGAGCAAAUGGGAGGUGCUGGUCGUGUAGGGCUGCGGUGAGGAACAACCUGCAGAAGUCAAACUCAUGUCAGCAGAGGUGCUGGUGAAGGCAGUCCCUACCUUACUGACGGCACCAGCCCUGCCUCUGGGCGAGUGGACAUCUAUGGACAAGAACAAGAUGAAGAUAAGGAUGUCAGGGACGGAGCAGCUGACUUCACCUGCUACACACCGGCCCAUUUACACAACACAGAUGUUGCCACGGGUGCCGUCUCUCCUCCGGUUGCCCUGGAGAUGGGGGUGGGUCUUCUAUGCUAGCUGUUCCAGAUGUGGGGCCAGGUGGCUGCUGCAAUGGUGA